UCUCUCCCCAGUCCCUUCUAUUUAGCAUAUUUUAAAAAUUUCUGUAGUAGUAGUUUCUUUCUUUCCUUCCUUUCUUUUUCUCUUUCUCUCUCUUUCUCUCUCGCUCUUUCUUUCUUCUUUCCUUUCUUUCUCUUUCUUUCCUUUCUUUUUCUCUUUCUUUCUUUCCUUUCUUUUCCUCUUUCUUUCUUUCUUUCUCCCCGCCCCAGACAGGGACUUGCCAUAUAGUUCAGGCUCACCUUGAACUCACUGUGUAGCCCUGGCUGGCCUUGAACUUGCAGUGAUCCUCCUGCCUUGGCCUCCUGAUUGUUAGGAUUAGGGGAAGUGGAGGCGGCGCUGUGCCUGAAGCCUUCGCCUGUGGAUCCGGUGCGACUCAGACGCUGCCAGAACUGAACUGAGAUGCAGGACGCCCCGCUGCUGAAGCGGUACCGGGAAAACCAUGCAUUUGGUGUCAGAUAUGUGGAGGCCUCCUAGAUAAGCUGCUGGUGAUUAUCAACGGGGAUCCAUCAUCUUCCUUGGGAUCCGCAUUCUGAAGUGUUGUAAAUAAAUUACAGCAAGUCCCCAACUUACGAACAUUCGAGCUGCGAUUUCACGGACACGAAGGACUCACGUUAGGAACAUGCGCAGAUGCGGACACCCCCGGAAGUGGCUGGGCCCUCUGCCCCCUGCGCAGUGCGAUGGUGCAGGGCAGCACAGCUCAGUCAGCGCCUGGACGUCCGGAGCCAGGAGAGGGGUCGCUGGGGAGCGCAAAGCAGCGCACGCUGUGUGUUUGUGUCAAACGUGUGUGAGGCUCGCUCUGCCGGACUUAGGGGUGAAGCAGAUUUAGAAUGUUCUCUUGAAUCAGAACUUGUAUGGAAGUUGGGGACUUACUGUAUUCCGAAGAAUAAAGUCUGCAGAAAAAUCUUUUUUUUUUUUUGGUACCGGGGAUGGAACUUGGGACCUUGUGCCUGCAAGCCAGGCCAUGGAACCACUGAGCUAGCUUGAUCUCUAGCUUUAAUCAGCAAUAAUUUCUUUUGAAAUAAAUUACCUACUUUAAAACUCUGUAGGACCGGGGAUUUAGCUCAGUGGUUCUGCCACCUGCCUCGCAGGCGCAAGGUCCCGAGUUCAAUUGCCGGUAUCAAAAAAACAAAAAAACCCCAACUCUGUAAAGUAAUCUCUCUAAAAGUUAUAGUUUUAAUAUGAGAUGAUACCUACUUUUUAUUUAACAUAUUUUAAAAUUUAUUAUAAAAAAUUAGGUACUGGAGAUUUAGCCUUAAGUAAAACCAAGGCUUGCCCUGGUUUUGAUAAAGUUUGAGUCUAUUUUAACUUCAUAGUUCCUAGUCAACAUUAUUUUUAAUUUUCAUCAAGCCCAAUUAACCUGGUUAAAUUCUGGGUUCCUCAUAAAGCUAAAAGAUGACCCACUUUGGACAUCAACGUGUAUCUGAUAUUAUAAUCCUUUAAUGAGGCAUUGUUGACUUCCUCUCUGAAGAAUGGGAUGAACUUGGGGUACAGGGCUUGCUUUAAAAUUCACAAUGUCGGGAAUCAUAUCCUCACUUUUGCAUAUUUUAUGUUAAAGCUAUGUUUACUUUUGUGGAGCUACCAGGAAAUAGUACCUUAGCAGCUCUUACCUUUGAGGGCUGAGGAGGAUAGAAGGUGGGACUGGUGCAUACAGAAGGCAGACAGGGAUUGGAACCCUUGACCUGCCAGUACUGAGUGACCCAGAACAAGUUAUUUCAUUGCUCAGCUCCCAUAUUUAUUUUUCUACAAACUAAAAAUGAUGACACCUACACUGGUGAAUUUUGAGAGCACUAAACUGUAGAGCACAUGUGAGUAUCUAGCAUAUAGAGACUGUUAGGAAUACAGAUACCACUUGUAAUAGCUACCGCCUUCUCUCUUCCCCUUCUCCAAGGUGGUCCCAAAUCACAAGUUCUGAAACAAAUUAGGAGAAAAAUUGAAUGGCUUUCUUUUCUGUUCUAGAAUCUCUUUUCUUGGCUUUACAUUAAGGUAUCCUAUAAAGAGAGUUGCUCUCUCCACCACAUAAAAGCAUUACAGUCAUCUAAUUGUAAAUUAAAUGCUAAGCCUGCUUCACUGUGGGAUAUGAAGCUUGUGGAUCUGAGGUCAAGUUUUUCUUGAUAGGGAAAGAAUAAUAACAACCUUUGGCUGUCCAAGCAGAAAGGAUAUGUUUCUUGUGACAUUUAAUCUAAUAAUAAAAGGCUGUGGGUAGCUUCUUGUGGGAGGUAGGCAAAUGCUAGCAGCAGGAAAUGCUCUGCACUGGUUGUCACAGUUCAAGGUUGAGUAACCUCUGGCUAAUGUGGAAAGAGUUCGUUGAUCACAAUUCAGCUGAACAAAUAUGUAUCCUGGAAUGCAAAGUGAAUUUAUUGGAAUUGCUGAUUUUAUGUUCAAAUUUACAAUACAUACUGGAAAGAGAUUGAUACUAUGUCAUAUUUUGCUUUGGGAAAACUGAAUUUGAACAAGUGGAUCUCAACUUGAAUCCUAAAGGUCAUGCUGGCUUAUCCAAUUUCAAGAAAAAUUAUUGACUCAAAUUUGUUGGAGGAAAUUAUUUUUCAUGAUGUGGAAUCUUUUCAAACUAUUGUUCACAUGACCUCCAACAUGCUUUGCUGCUUUGCUGCCUUCUUCCUGCCUACCCUGCCAUGGACUGUUUCUCCUCUGCCUUCCACCCUGCCUUGGAGCCAGCUGACUAUGGACCGAAGCCUCUACAAACCGUUUUCUUCAGUGCAAACAUCUGAUAUAUUUACAUAAUGUAAGAAUCUUUAAAUCUUUUUAUAAGUCAAUUGCCUAUUGACCCUGUCAUAAGCCUCAGAAAUAUACGAUGCUAUUCCUGGAAUCCAAAAUGGCUGGUGUCUGUGGGAUUAAUCUCAGAAGUUAAUGUUUUAAAGAAAAAACUUCUCUUCAUUGAAAGGCUGGAGUGCUUUCUUUCUUUCUUUUUUUUUUUUG
ensembl:lncRNA